UUGGAAACGGUGGCUAAUACCGAAUGUGCCGAGAGGUGAAAGGCUUGCUGCCUGAAGAAGAGCUUGCGUCUGAUUAGCUAGUUGGUGGGGUAAGAGCCUACCAAGGCGACGAUCAGUAGCUGGUCUGAGAGGAUGAUCAGCCACACUGGGACUGAGACACGGCCCAGACUCCUACGGGAGGCAGCAGUGGGGAAUUUUCCGCAAUGGGCGAAAGCCUGACGGAGCAAUACCGCGUGAGGGAGGAAGGCUCUUGGGUUGUAAACCUCUUUUCUCAGGGAAGAAAAAAAUGACGGUACCUGAGGAAUAAGCAUCGGCUAACUCCGUGCCAGCAGCCGCGGUAAUACGGAGGAUGCAAGCGUUAUCCGGAAUGAUUGGGCGUAAAGGGUCCGCAGGUGGUAGUGUAAGUCUGCUGUUAAAGAGUCACGCUCAACGUGAUCAAAGCAGUGGAAACUACACAACUAGAGUACGGUAGGGGCAGAAGGAAUUCCUGGUGUAGCGGUGAAAUGCGUAGAUAUCAGGAAGAACACCGGUGGCGAAAGCGUUCUGCUAGACCUGUACUGACACUGAGGGACGAAAGCUAGGGGAGCGAAUGGGAUUAGAUACCCCAGUAGUC
rnacentral:rRNA from 1 species